rnacentral:lncRNA from 1 species
UUAGAGUUUGGGUUUAGGGUAUAGGAUUAGGGUUUAGAGUUUGAGUUUAGGGUUUAGGAUUAGGGUUUAGGAUAUAGGGUUUGGGUUUAGGGGUUUGGAUUCGGGUUUAGAAUUUAGGGUAUAAGGUUUAGAAUUUAAAAUUUAGGUUUUAGGGUUUCGCUGGAAGCGUUAGCAUCGUUAAAAUUAGUGUUUUUAUUUUUUGUAGCUAUUUAUUGUUUAAUUUAAUAUUUU